rnacentral:rRNA from 1 species
GUAGGUGGCAAGCGUUGUCCGGAAUUAUUGGGCGUAAAGCGCGCGCAGGCGGUCCUUUAAGUCUGAUGUGAAAGCCCACGGCUCAACCGUGGAGGGUCAUUGGAAACUGGGGGACUUGAGUACAGAAGAGGAAAGCGGAAUUCCAAGUGUAGCGGUGAAAUGCGUAGAGAUUUGGAGGAACACCAGUGGCGAAGGCGGCUUUCUGGUCUGUAACUGACGCUGAGGCGCGAAAGCGUGGGGAGCAAACAGGGAUUAGAUACCCUGGUAGUCCACGCCGUAAACGAUGAGUGCUAAGUGUUAGGGGGUUUCCGCCCCUUAGUGCUGCAGCUAACGCAUUAAGCACUCCGCCUGGGGAGUACGGCCGCAAGGCUG